rnacentral:rRNA from 1 species
ACGGUGAAAAGAACCCAGAGAUGGGAGUGAAAUAGAACCUGAAACCAUAAGCUUACAAGGUGUUAGAGCACAUUAAUGUGUGAUAGCGUGCCUUUUGAAGUAUGAGCCAGCGAGUUAUUAUAGCAUGCGAGGUUAAAUCGUAGAGAUGGAGCCGUAGGGAAACCGAGUCUUAAUAGGGCGUUUUAGUAUGUUAUAAUAGACGCGAAACGGGGUGAUCUAUCCAUGGGCAGGUUGAAGGUGAAGUAACAUUCACUGGAGGACCGAACCCACUUUCGUUGAAACGACAGGGGAUGACCUGUGGAUAGUGGUGAAAUUCCAAUCGAACUCCGUGAUAGCUCGUUCUCGUCGAAAUAUUUUUAGGAAUAGCGUUAGAUUAUUGGGAAUAUGGGGGUAAAGCACUGAAUCUAUGAUGGCGCCACCUCGGUGUACUGAAUAGAAUCAAACUCUGAAUACCAUAUUACCUAUUCUAGCAGUCAGACAGUGGGGGAUAAGCUUCAUUGUCGCGAGGGAAACAGCCCAGAUCAUUAACUAAGGUCCCUAAUAUAUGCUAAGUGGAAAACGAUGUUGAGUUUCAUAAACAGCAAGGAUGUUGGCUUAGAAGCAGCCACCGUUUAAAGAGUGCGUAACAGCUCACUUGUCGAGAGACUCUGCGCGGAAGAUGUAACGGGGCUAAGCAUAUAACCGAAGUUAUGGGUUACAUAUUAUAUAUGUAGCGGUAGACGAGUGUUGUAUAUGGGGCGAAGGUAGACUGUGAAGACUACUGGACUUUAUACAAGUAAGAAUGCUGGCGUGAGUAACGAAUGAGAGUGAGAAUCUCUCAAACCGAUUGACUAAGGGUUCCUGGGCAAGGGUCGUCCUCCCAGGGUAAGUCGGAUCCUAAGGCGAGGCUGAAAAGCGUAGUCGAUGGAAAACAGGUUAAUAUUCCUGUACCUACAAAUUGUGUGAUGGAGUGACGGAGAAGGUUAUUAUGUGCCGGUUAUUGGAUUCCGGUUUAAAUAACAAGGUUAGUAAGUUGGCAAAUCCGCUUACUAUUAAGACCAAGUUAUGAAUACGAGCGACCCCUUCGGGCAGUAGCGAAGACAUAUACAUCAUGCUUCCAAGAAAAGCUUCUAGCGUUAAACAAUUGGUAGUCCGUACCGAGAACGAACACACGUGGUCAAGGAGAAUAUCCUAAGGUUAGCGAGUUAACUACAGUUAAGGAACUCUGCAAAUUAACCCCGUACGUUAGCAAUAAGGGGUGCUCGCUGUAAAAGGUGAGCCGCAGUGAAUAGCGAGGGGGGACUGUUUAACAAAAACACAGCUCUAUGCUAAGUCGUAAGACGAUGUAUAUGGGGUGACACCUGCCCAAUGCUGUAAGGUUAAAGAAGAAUGUUAGCGCAAGCGAAGCUUUUAACUGAAGCCCCAGUGAAUGGCGGCCGUAACUAUAACGGUCCUAAGGUAGCGAAAUUCCUUGUCGGGUAAAUUCCGUCCCGCUUGAAUGGUGUAACCAUCUCUUGACUGUCUCAACUGUAGACUCGGUGAAAUCCUGGUGAGGGUGAAGACGCCCUCUUGGCGUGAUUGGACGGAAAGACCCCAUGAAGCUUUACUGUAGCUUAAUAUUGGGAAAUUUUAUUACUUGUAGAGCAUAGGUAGGAGACUGUGAAGUAUACUCGCUAGGGUAUAUGGAGUCAACGUUGGAAUACUACCCUUGUGAUAAGAUUUCUCUAACCUGCAGCCAUGAAUCUGGCUGGGGGACAGUGUUAGGUGGGCAGUUUGACUGGGGCGGUCGCCUCCCAAAAGGUAACGGAGGCGCGCAACGGUACCCUCAGCACGGUUGGAAAUCGUGUAUAGAGUGUAAUGGUAUAAGGGUGCUUGACUGUGAGACUUACAAGUCGAACAGGUAGGAAACUAGGUCAUAGUGAUCCGGUGGCUCAGAAUGGAAUGGCCAUCGCUCAACGGAUAAAAGCUACUCUGGGGAUAACAGGCUGAUAGUGCCCAAGAGUUCAUAUCGACGGCACUGUUUGGCACCUCGAUGUCGACUCAUCUCAUCCUGGAGCUGAAGCAGGUUCCAAGGGUUCGGCUGUUCGCCGAUUAAAGAGAUACGUGAGUUGGGUUCAAACCGUCGUGAGACAGGUUGGUCCCUAUCUGUCAUGCCCGUAGGAAGAUUGAGAAGAGCUGUUCCUAGUACGAGAGGACCGGAAUGGACACACCUCUUGUGAUCCUGUUGUCGCGCCAGCGGCACUGCAGGGUAGCAACGUGUGGAAUAGAGAAACGCUGAAAGCAUCUAAGUGUGAAACUAACUUCAAGAUUAAUCUUCCCUUUCU